UCAGAAGAGGCUACUACUAGCUAUCUAGCUUCAUGUUUAACUCUUCUUGGUUUGUGUUUUUGUGUGCUUGUUGGAGUUGUUAGGAGGAAGAGAGGGGUGAGAGGUGAGGCUGACAGAAGAGAGUGAGCACACAUGGUGACUUUCUUGCAUGCUGAAUGGACUCAUGCUUGAAGCUAUGUGUGCUCACUUCUCUCUCUGUCAGCCAUUUGAUCUCUCUUUCUCUCUUUCUCCCUCAUGUGUUAUACUGUUCUCUCAUAUCUUCUUCUUUGAGGUAGUAAUAUACUUGAGCAAAUUAAGCUGCUUAAUUAUUUGUGUAUGAUGAUCAGCUGCUGAUCCGGCCUCAUUUCUUGCAUAUAUGAGAUCAGUUUCAACCACAACCACAUACAUGCUUGUUCAUUUUUUUUCACAAAGAAAGAGAACAGUUUAAUUUAAUUUCUUGGGGUUUUUGGAACAGUUAAUUUGUCUUGAGAGGGGAAGAGAUCUCUAUGGGUUUUGGAGGUCUGACAGAAGAGAGUGAGCACACACGGUGCUUUCUUAGCAUGCAAGAGCCAUGCUGGGAGCUGUGCGUGCUCACUCUCUAUCUGUCAGCCGUUCACCAUGCCCAAUAUGAUUAAUCUCCUUCUCUCAGUUGACAGUAAUUUCUUUGCCAGAUCUCCUGUUAAAUUCUCUGCCUAGCUAGCUAUUAUGCACAUGCUUAUUAUGAUGAGCCUGCCAAUAUCAUCUCCACGGCAAAACACAAACUAGCUAUGAUUUGAUUCAUUAUAUUUCUUUUCGCUGUUUAAUUAAUUAUAUGCAG
rnacentral:precursor_RNA from 1 species